rnacentral:rRNA from 1 species
UACAGAGGUCUCAAGCGUUGUUCGGAUUUAUUGGGCGUAAAGGGUGCGUAGGUGGCGCGCUAAGUCAGGUGUGAAAUUUCGGAGCUUAACUCCGAAACUGCAUUUGAUACUGGCGUGCUUGAGGACUGGAGAGGAGACUGGAAUUCACGGUGUAGCAGUGAAAUGCGUAGAGAUCGUGAGGAAGACCAGUGGCGAAGGCGGGUCUCUGGACAGUUCCUGACACUGAGGCACGAAGGCCAGGGGAGCAAACGGG